rnacentral:rRNA from 1 species
AUUGAACGCUGGCGGCAUGCUUUACACAUGCAAGUCGAGCGGUAACAGGCCUUCGGGUGCUGACGAGUGGCGAACGGGUGAGUAAUGCAUCGGAACGUACCCAGAGGUGGGGGAUAACGCAGCGAAAGCUGUGCUAAUACCGCAUGUGAUCUGAGGAUGAAAGCGGGGGACCGAGCAGCAAUGUUUGGCCUCGCGCCUUUGGAGCGGCCGAUGUCGGAUUAGCUAGUUGGUGGGGUAAAGGCCUACCAAGGCGACGAUCCGUAGCUGGUCUGAGAGGACGACCAGCCACACUGGGACUGAGACACGGCCCAGACUCCUACGGGAGGCAGCAGUGGGGAAUGUUGGACAAUGGGCGCAAGCCUGAUCCAGCAAUGCCGCGUGCGGGAAGAAGGCCUUCGGGUUGUAAACCGCUUUUGGCAGGAACGAAACGGUGUCCGCUAAUACCGGGCGCUAAUGACGGUACCUGCAGAAUAAGCACCGGCUAACUACGUG